ensembl:lncRNA
CAAAUUUCCUCAAAACCAUCAAAGACAUCUCUUGAAUGUAAGAACAACUCGUGGAAAACGGGUUUUAUUUAAAGUUGUCAACACAUGAGGUUCAAAGCGUCAUACAAAACCAUUUUGGGAAUGACCCCCCGCCACCUCUCAAAUCUUCUGCACAUUUCCGACGGCAGUGACUUCAUUCGGCUCAUCAUUCCAAAAGUCCGUACUGUGUUUGGCAAAAACUAACUAACAGCCCUCACCUCUCUCAACAUGUUCAAACAUAAGUAACGAGCCACAGUUGACUGCUGUACUUGCUGACCAGCCCUCACUUCUCUCUUUCAUUUUUCACAAAGUACUUCCAGUAAUUUGCCUUUUUUUUGUACAUAGUGUUUAUUAAUUUAACUGUUGUUUUUAGCCAUGUGUUUGUCAUACUGUGUUGUGUCUGUGCUGUUUGUGACUGUGCUGCUGCCUCUUGGCCAUCAAAGCCUCUUCACAAGGUUUUCAUUUCAUUAAAAAGAGCAGUUUAACUCGCUAAAAGUGUUUUUUACAAUGUGGCGACUAGAGGCUAACGGUAGCUAACAUUAGCACGAACAGGGCAAACAGCGGCAACAGUGUUGAUGGAGGUAAAAGUGCUGAUGGAGGUAUGAAAGUACUGAUGAAGGUAACAGUGCUGAUGGAGGCAACAGUGCUGAUGAAGGUAAAAGUGCUGAUGGAGGUAUGAAAGUACUGAUGAAGGUAACUGUGCUGAUGGAGGUUACAGUGCUGAUGAAGGUAAAAGUACUGAUGAAGGUAACAGUGCUGAUGAAGGUAACAGUGCUGAUGGAGGUAAAAGUGCUGAUGGAGGUAGCGUAGACCACACAAGGGCGGGUGCAGCACCUCCAGGAAGGCCUCGCGGGUUGGGGCGACGUUAUCAGAUGUAACCGCAGAGAUAAGCAGCCGCUCAUAGCGACAUCAUUGUCUGCUUCGGGUUGUCCAGCUUUGAUUUGAUUGAUGUGUAAUUCUGCACGGCGACGGUCAAACAGGUGAAACGCAAUGUGUUGUUAUUAUUUGUUGGACUUUUGGAUUUGCUCUUUUUUUCCUUCUCCUUUACCAUAAAAUAAUGUAUUGAGUCUUGCAGGAUAUUGAUGCAGUAAUGCAGUAUUUUCUAUCAUCAUGA